CUCCUGGAAACGGGUGGUAAUGCCGGAUGCUCCAGUUGAUCGCAUGGUCUUCUGGGAAAGCUUUCGCGGUAUGGGAUGGGGUCGCGUCCUAUCAGCUUGACGGCGGGGUAACGGCCCACCGUGGCUUCGACGGGUAGCCGGCCUGAGAGGGCGACCGGCCACAUUGGGACUGAGAUACGGCCCAGACUCCUACGGGAGGCAGCAGUGGGGAAUAUUGCACAAUGGGCGCAAGCCUGAUGCAGCGACGCCGCGUGAGGGAUGGAGGCCUUCGGGUUGUAAACCUCUUUUAUCGGGGAGCAAGCGAGAGUGAGUUUACCCGUUGAAUAAGCACCGGCUAACUACGUGCCAGCAGCCGCGGUAAUACGUAGGGUGCAAGCGUUAUCCGGAAUUAUUGGGCGUAAAGGGCUCGUAGGCGGUUCGUCGCGUCCGGUGUGAAAGUCCAUCGCUUAACGGUGGAUCCGCGCCGGGUACGGGCGGGCUUGAGUGCGGUAGGGGAGACUGGAAUUCCCGGUGUAACGGUGGAAUGUGUAGAUAUCGGGAAA
rnacentral:rRNA from 1 species